rnacentral:rRNA from 1 species
ACGAACGCUGGCGGCGUGCCUAAUACAUGCAAGUCGAACGAACUCUGGUAUUGAUUGGUGCUUGCAUCAUGAUUUACAUUUGAGUGAGUGGCGAACUGGUGAGUAACACGUGGGAAACCUGCCCAGAAGCGGGGGAUAACACCUGGAAACAGAUGCUAAUACCGCAUAACAACUUGGACCGCAUGGUCCGAGUUUGAAAGAUGGCUUCAGCUAUCACUUUUGGAUGGUCCCGCGGCGUAUUAGCUAGAUGGUGGGGUAACGGCUCACCAUGGCAAUGAUACGUAGCCGACCUGAGAGGGUAAUCGGCCACAUUGGGACUGAGACACGGCCCAAACUCCUACGGGAGGCAGCAGUAGGGAAUCUUCCACAAUGGACGAAAGUCUGAUGGAGCAACGCCGCGUGAGUGAAGAAGGGUUUCGGCUCGUAAAACUCUGUUGUUAAAGAAGAACAUAUCUGAGAGUAACUGUUCAGGUAUUGACGGUAUUUAACCAGAAAGCCACGGCUAACUACGUGCCAGCAGCCGCGGUAAUACGUAGGUGGCAAGCGUUGUCCGGAUUUAUUGGGCGUAAAGCGAGCGCAGGCGGUUUUUUAAGUCUGAUGUGAAAGCCUUCGGCUCAACCGAAGAAGUGCAUCGGAAACUGGGAAACUUGAGUGCAGAAGAGGACAGUGGAACUCCAUGUGUAGCGGUGAAAUGCGUAGAUAUAUGGAAGAACACCAGUGGCGAAGGCGGCUGUCUGGUCUGUAACUGACGCUGAGGCUCGAAAGUAUGGGUAGCAAACAGGAUUAGAUACCCUGGUAGUCCAUACCGUAAACGAUGAAUGCUAAGUGUUGGAGGGUUUCCGCCCUUCAGUGCUGCAGCUAACGCAUUAAGCAUUCCGCCUGGGGAGUACGGCCGCAAGGCUGAAACUCAAAGGAAUUGACGGGGGCCCGCACAAGCGGUGGAGCAUGUGGUUUAAUUCGAAGCUACGCGAAGAACCUUACCAGGUCUUGACAUACUAUGCAAAUCUAAGAGAUUAGACGUUCCCUUCGGGGACAUGGAUACAGGUGGUGCAUGGUUGUCGUCAGCUCGUGUCGUGAGAUGUUGGGUUAAGUCCCGCAACGAGCGCAACCCUUAUUAUCAGUUGCCAGCAUUAAGUUGGGCACUCUGGUGAGACUGCCGGUGACAAACCGGAGGAAGGUGGGGAUGACGUCAAAUCAUCAUGCCCCUUAUGACCUGGGCUACACACGUGCUACAAUGGAUGGUACAACGAGUUGCGAACUCGCGAGAGUAAGCUAAUCUCUUAAAGCCAUUCUCAGUUCGGAUUGUAGGCUGCAACUCGCCUACAUGAAGUCGGAAUCGCUAGUAAUCGCGGAUCAGCAUGCCGCGGUGAAUACGUUCCCGGGCCUUGUACACACCGCCCGUCACACCACGAGAGUUUGUAACACCCGAAGUCGGUGAGGUAACCUUUUGGAGCCAGCCGCCUAAGGUGGGAUAGAUGAUUGGGGUG